rnacentral:rRNA from 1 species
UACGUAGGGUGCAAGCGUUGUCCGGAAUCAUUGGGCGUAAAGAGCGUGUAGGCGGCUCGAUUAGUCCGCUGUAAAAGUCCAGGGCUCAACCCUGGGAUGCCGGUGGAAACUGUCAGGCUCGAGUCCGGAAGAGGCGAGUGGAAUUCCUGGUGUAGCGGUGAAAUGCGCAGAUAUCAGGAGGAACACCGAUGGCGAAGGCAGGUCUCUGGGCCACUACUGACGCUGAGAAGCGAAAGCAUGGGGAGCGAACAGG